UCGGGGGACAAAGUGACAGGUGGUGCAUGGUUGUCGUCAGCUCGUGUCGUGAGAUGUUGGGUUAAGUCCCGCAACGAGCGCAACCCUUAAGCUUAGUUGCCAGCAUUAAGUUGGGCACUCUAAGUUGACUGCCGGUGACAAACCGGAGGAAGGUGGGGAUGACGUCAAAUCAUCAUGCCCCUUAUGAUUUGGGCUACACACGUGCUACAAUGGACAAUACAAAGGGCAGCUAAACCGCGAGGUCAUGCAAAUCCCAUAAAGUUGUUCUCAGUUCGGAUUGUAGUCUGCAACUCGACUACAUGAAGCUGGAAUCGCUAGUAAUCGUAGAUCAGCAUGCUACGGUGAAUACGUUCCCGGGUCUUGUACACACCGCCCGUCACACCACGAGAGUCUGUAACACCCGAAGCCGGUGGAGUAACCAUUUAUGGAGCUAGCCGUCGAAGGUGGGACAAAUGAUUGGGGUGAAGUCGUAACAAGGUAGCCGUAUCGGAAGGUGCGGCUGGAUCACCUC
rnacentral:rRNA from 1 species